GUGAGGAAUAUUGGUCAAUGGGCGGGAGCCUGAACCAGCCAAGUCGCGUGAAGGAAGAAGGAUCUAUGGUUCGUAAACUUCUUUUGCAGGGGAAUAAAGUGCAGGACGUGUCCUGUUUUGUAUGUACCCUGAGAAUAAGGAUCGGCUAACUCCGUGCCAGCAGCCGCGGUAAUACGGAGGAUCCGAGCGUUAUCCGGCUUUAUUGGGUUUAAAGGGUGCGUAGGUGGGUUGAUAAGUCAGCGGUGAAAGUUUGCAGCUUAACUGUAAAAAUGCCGUUGAACCUGUCGGACUUGAGUGUAAAUGAGGUAGGCGGAAUGCGUGGUGUAGCGGUGAAAUGCAUAGAUAUCACGCAGAACUCCGAUUGCGAAGGCAGCUUACUAAGCUACAACUGACACUGAAGCACGAAAGCGUGGGGAUCAAACAGGAUUAGAUACCCGUGUAGUCC
rnacentral:rRNA from 1 species